UAUAGCUCAGUGGCAGAGUAUGUGCCUGGCAAGCACAAGGUCCUGAGUGCAAUCCCAGGUA
rnacentral:tRNA from 1 species